GUAGGUGGCAAGCGUUGUCCGGAAUUAUUGGGCGUAAAGCGCGCGCAGGCGGUUCUUUAAGUCUGAUGUGAAAGCCCACGGCUCAACCGUGGAGGGUCAUUGGAAACUGGAGAACUUGAGUACAGAAGAGGAAAGCGGAAUUCCACGUGUAGCGGUGAAAUGCGCAGAGAUGUGGAGGAACACCAGUGGCGAAGGCGGCUUUCUGGUCUGUAACUGACGCUGAGGCGCGAAAGCGUGGGGGGAGCAAACAGGAUUAGAUACCCUGGUAGUCCACGCCGUAAACGAUGAGUGCUAAGUGUUAGGGGGUUUCCGCCCCCCCCUUAGUGCUGCAGCUAACGCAUUAAGCACUCCGCCUGGGAGUACGGCCGCAAGGCUG
rnacentral:rRNA from 1 species